rnacentral:misc_RNA from 1 species
GGGGAAGGGGAUAAGGAAAAGGACCUACUUCUGCGUCGGCGGCGUCUCCGUGGAGUGGGAGAGCGACUUCUACGACGACGGUAGGAAGGGGAAGGACUUCGACGGCGGCGAAGGGAGGUGGAACGGCUCCUUCUCCUGGAAUGGGAAUUGGAGUAAUAGGGAGAAGGAGUUCGGUCCCUUCUGCUUCUCCGACUAUGGCGAUGGGAAGUGGAGCGGUGAGUGUACGACGGAGACCUUGAAACACUUCUCCCCAUAACAUUAAAUUGAAUUCGGCAGUAGCCACAGGAUCAAGGGAGGAGAAGAAGAACGAACCCUAUGCUAUGGACCCUCGUUCGACUCAAA